rnacentral:misc_RNA from 1 species
GUGAAUCAUCGAAUCUUUGAACGCAAAUUGCACUCUCCUCGGAUAGAAUGCCUGUUUGAGGUUCGGCCUAUAAAAAAUCGACAUCGUUUCUGUUCCGCGGUGACGUUCGUCGGAAAUUGGGUUAUCUUAAACCUUUUGGUUUAAGCGACUUAAAAUUUUCCUUUUGAUGCCAUGAACGUUUCUAAGAUUUAUUUCUUAACACGGUAAAGUAAUCGAUUUUUUUUACACUUUUCAGCUAG